rnacentral:misc_RNA from 1 species
AAGUCGUAACAAGGUCUCCGUUGGUGAACCAGCGGAGGGAUCAUUACCGAGUUUCCAACUCACAACCCACUGUGAACAUACCUACGUUGCUUCGGCGGCAUCCGGCCUCGGCCGCGCCGCCGGAGACCCAAACUCUGUUUUUACAUGUAACUUCUGAGUAUUCUUGAAAUAAAUCAAAACCUUCAACAACGGAUCUCUUGGCUCUG